UUUUUUUUCACGCACGCGAUGACAGUUCCUUACGAGGUUUUCCGUUGGUGCGGGGUGCUUUGCUUUGCUUUGUGGAAUCUAUUUUUCCUACGAAGUGAAAAAAGUGAUAUGAAGGAAUUCCUCUUCCAAAUAUUCGUCCGGGAUUUGCUGCAAGAGUUUCGCCAGGGAUUUGCUCCAGGAAUCCCUUUGGCUAUGGACUUAAAGCGGGGAAAGAAUUUCACUACAGCCGAAGAUGAACAGAUUUGUCGGUCUUGGUUAUGGGUGUCCAAGGACUCUAUUAAAGAGACAGACCAACAACGAAACGACUUUUGGACCACAGUCAAAAACCAUGUGGAAAAGAUUAUGCCAUCACUAAGUGGCCGGACUGCUGAUGGUCUCAGGCAGCGUUUUCAACAUUUAAGCGCCCUUGUAUCCAAGUACAGCUAGAUAAAAAUCUAAGAAAUAAAUUUCAAUAUGAUCUUGAUGUUUUAUUCGA